GAUGAACGCUGGCGGCGUGCUUAACACAUGCAAGUCGAACCAAGCAUUUGCGACAGAUUUUUUCGGAAUGAAGUUGCUUAUGACUGAGUGGCGGACGGGUGAGUAACGCGUGGGUAACCUGCCUUGUACUGGGGGAUAGCAGCUGGAAACGGCUGGUAAUACCGCAUAAGCGCACAAUGUUGCAUGACAUGGUGUGAAAAACUCCGGUGGUAUAAGAUGGACCCGCGUCUGAUUAGCUAGUUGGUGAGAUAACAGCCCACCAAGGCGACGAUCAGUAGCCGACCUGAGAGGGUGACCGGCCACAUUGGGACUGAGACACGGCCCAGACUCCUACGGGAGGCAGCAGUGGGGAAUAUUGCACAAUGGAGGAAACUCUGAUGCAGCGACGCCGCGUGAGUGAAGAAGUAAUUCGUUAUGUAAAGCUCUAUCAGCAGGGAAGAUAGUGACGGUACCUGACUAAGAAGCUCCGGCUAAAUACGUG
rnacentral:rRNA from 1 species